UGAGGUAGUAGGUUGUAUGGUUCAGAAUUACACCGUUCAGGCGAAACUGUACAACUUGCUAACUUUCC
rnacentral:pre_miRNA from 1 species